UCAACUUUUUCUUUUUAAAAAUUUCAAAAAAAAAUAGAGUAUUGUGUAGCCGAGGAGGUAGUAGGUAGUGAAUAAUUUAGAGCCACACAGGCAAGGUGACUUCACCUCAACAACAAUGUCGUCCUCCAUGUUAAUGGCUUCCUCUUCAUCCUUCAUCUCAUCACCUAUCUUUGCUUCUUCUUCUUCUGCAGAUGAUUCGAAAACUUCAAACCCGAAGUCUGUAAAGCUCCGACCCGAUUGGAGGGAAAAAUCUCGGCCAAUUCCUCCUGGUGGUACCUAUCCUGCUAAAGAUCAUUGCAGUCAAUGUGGGCUAUGUGAUACUUAUUACAUCGCUCAUGUGAAGAAUGCAUGUGCUUUCUUGGGCGAUGGCAUGUCUAGAAUUGAAAAAUUGGAACCCCUGGUCCAUGGCAGAGGCAGGAAGGAGGAUUCACUUGAUGAGACAUAUUUAGGAGUCUAUGAAGAUGUAUUGUAUGCGCGUAAAAUCAAACCAGUUGAAGGUGCUCAAUGGACUGGCAUAGUGACUACUAUUGCUGUUGAAAUGCUUAAAGCAGGGUUAGUGGAAGCAGUUAUCUGUGUGCAGAGUGAUCCAGAGGAUAGGUUCAGUGUGAAGCCUGUAUUAGCCAGGACUCCUGAAGAAGUCAUUGCAGCGAAAGGUGUUAAACCAACUUUGUCUCCAAACCUAAAUACACUUGCCAUGGUUGAGGCUGCUGGUGUAAGGAGGCUUCUCUUCUGCGGCGUUGGCUGUCAAGUGCAAGCACUGAGAUCGGUGGAAAAAUAUUUAAAUCUGGAAAAGUUGUAUGUUCUUGGUACAAACUGCGUGGACAAUGGAACACGGGAAGGUCUGGACAAAUUUCUAAAAGCUGCAAGCAGCGAUCCAGACACAGUUCUUCAUUAUGAAUUCAUGCAAGAUUACAAGGUCCAUUUGAAGCACUUAGAUGGGCAUAUUGAAGAAGUCCCAUACUUCAGUCUACCAGCCAAUGACUUGGUCGAUGUCAUUGCACCAUCAUGUUAUAGUUGUUUUGACUACACAAAUGCAUUAGCGGAUCUGGUAGUUGGGUACAUGGGGGUUCCAAAGUAUUCAGGCAUCAGCAUGACACAACAUCCGCAGUAUGUCACUGUUAGGAACGAACGUGGUAGAGAGAUGCUGAGUCUCAUUAAGAACCUUAUAGAAAUCACACCUACUAUAAGCAGUGGUAACAGGCGUCCAUUUGUCAUGGAGACUGUUAAAGCAGAUGAUGCUGCCAAAUUAGGUAGAGGGCCUUCUCAGCCUGCACCUAAGUUUAUCGGAAAUAUAAUCGCAGCUAUCCUAAAUUUUGUUGGACCAAAGGGUUUGGAGUUUGCACGUUAUUCGCUAGAUUAUCAUACCAUUAGGAACUACCUUCAUGUAAAUCGUGCGUGGGGGGAGGAAAGGGCCAAUAUGCAUCUACCGUCAUAUGCAAGAAAACUGGUCGAGAUGUACAAUAAGACCGGCGAAAUUGACAAGAUGCUUUCCAACACAAGAAAAGGUGAAAACAAUUGUGACAAAAUCCUUUCGUUGUUUGGGGAUCUCAUCUGCGCGAACGAUUUGAUUUAUGUGGUGAAAAUUGCUUGUCGAUUUCGGGCAGAGGAACAUAAAGUUCAAAAAGAGCUUAUUCAGUUCACACUAGCUAGGGGUUGAUUCUUUUCGUGAUCUGAAUGCUUUUUAUUGAUCCUGAACAAUUGGAGACUCGAGUGCACUCCUCAAAAGCUAGCAAGAUGAUGGUGGCUGGUGCACCUGAUGAAUGACGAUGAUGAACGAGGAGAUGAUGGUGAUGAUGAAAAUGGUGCAACUUCAUGCGUCAUUCUUAAUCAUCAAGCAUACUUCAUUGUUAUCAUCUUGAAGCAUAUUGUGGAGAUGAUGGUGAUGACGAAAAUGAUGUGGAGAUGAUGUUGAUGAUGAAUGAUGAUGAUGAAGUAAUAAAUGUAAGCCAUCAACCAUGAUGAACGAUGAUGACGGUGAAUGAAAAUGUAAGCCAUCAACCAUACUUUUUUCUCGAUGAAUGUUUUGAACAUUGGAUGAACAUUGUUAUACAUUUUUCUCAAAAAGGAAAAAAAAUAAAAGGGAGUAGUUUGCUGUAAGUGACGGUAAAUCUUUUAUACAUUUUUGACCACUAUUAGGAAUUGACUUUAUUUUUAAUUACCAAGAUCUUCUAUAUUUUACUGUUACUAACAACGAAUAUAUAUUUGAAUUU